UACGUAGGGUGCGAGCGUUGUCCGGAAUUAUUGGGCGUAAAGAGCUUGUAGGCGGUCUGUCGCGUCUGCUGUGAAAAUCCGGGGCUCAACCCCGGACUUGCAGUGGGUACGGGCAGACUAGAGUGUGGUAGGGGAGACUGGAAUUCCUGGUGUAGCGGUGAAAUGCGCAGAUAUCAGGAGGAACACCGAUGGCGAAGGCAGGUCUCUGGGCCACUACUGACGCUGAGAAGCGGAAGCAUGGGGAGCGAACAGG
rnacentral:rRNA from 1 species